AGACAGAGAGAGAGAGAGAGAGAGAGAGAGAGAGAGAGAGAGAGAGAGAGAGAGAGAGAGAGAGAGAGAGAGAGAGAGAGAGACAGAGAGGAUACAUUCACCAAGUCCACUUUAAUGCAUGACCCAGCUGUUAACCUUUUCAGUAGAGUGACCUGUGUGUAUUAAUCCUAUAGGAGGCAGUCUGUCAUUGUAACAGCUGACUGCGUAUGAAGGACCAGUGUUGGGGAGUAGUGAACUACAUGUAGUCCAACUAGUAAUGUAACUACAUUUUGCAGUAACUUGAUGGUAGCUGAGUUAAAUUACAAUCUUAGUAGUGUUUUCAGAAGUUCUUUACUUUUCUGAGGUCUGGUUAGCUACUGGAACUACACACUACUUUUUUGUUGCAAAAAGUAGGAAAAAAAACAAUAUGGCAUCAGACCUGCCUAAUUCUCACUUGAGACAUAGUUUUUGUGUUUAAUAGGAUAAAUGACACAUUCUGUUAACAUCUAACUACAGAGCGAUCUGUUGUUGCUAUUUGUAUUCUAUGACAUUUCAAAUGUACAUAUCAUUUUUCAUGGAGUAGUUUGGAUGCAGUGAACUGCUUUUUCAAAGUAACUUUAGUUCAGUAAACUAUAAACUCUUUCUUAAGGGCAGCUUUAGUGUAGUUGAACUUCUUCCAGUGUGCAGUAAUUGGUAGCUUGGAAAAGUCUAUUUUCAGAGCAGCUUCCCCAACACUGUGAAGGACACACUGACAGGUUGGAGUCACCUCUCUAGAGAAAUGGGAAACAGGGGAUAUCCUGUGCUGAAGUCUCCCAGGUUAGAUGGACCCAUAUGAUUUACUAUGACUUACAUACAGCAUUUUAGUGCAUUGAAUUAAAAUAGGGGUCAAUAGGGUACGUUUCUAUCAAUAGCAACAGUGUUGUAGUGUGAUGUAAGGUGGUAGCCAAGGAGAUACUUUUCAUAAGGAGAAAAUGUUCCGAAAGUGAAUUUCAGCCUCCCUCUCUCUCUUUCUCUUUCUUUCGCUUAUUCACCCUCUGUGUCCUCUUGUAUGAGUGUUCACUGUUCCACACUGCACACACACACACACACACACACACACACACACACACACACACACACACACACACACACACACACACACACACACACACACACACACACACACACACACACACACACACACACACACACACACACACACACACACACACACACACACACACACACACACACACACACACACACACACACACACACACACACACACACACACACACACACACACACACACACACACACACGCACACCCCUAAGCGCCUGGGCCUAAUGGGAAUGUGGCUUCAGUGGUGUGUAGCGAUUGAACACGACAUCUCUGCAUGGGCUUCAGCAGAAUAACACCUGUCCCCCUUUAUCCAAGGAGAAAAGCUGGAAAUGACCUUCCUCUGAGAGUUGGAUUGUAUUAGCUCUCCUCCUGCACAACAUUUGUUUCACUCCCUCCUUUUCCACUUUCUCUUCCUUUCUCUUUUUUUCCCAAAUAUUUUAUCUUGUUUCACCUGCGCUUGUUUGUGAUGAAAUGAUGCAUGUUGAAUACAAACCAGUCUGUGGGUGAGAGUGGUUCAAAUGAGUAAAUCUUAUAUAAAUGUUACCUGGAUGUUACAAGGGGUGGUUUUUUUCGGUUCCCUCAGCUCUCUCUGUUUGAAGUAGUGUUGGGUUAUGAUUGGUUUAUCCUGCGAGUGAUUCGAGGUCAAAGGUCAUAUUCCAUACAGAUCCAUGGUGCCGCCAUUUUGGUUUUCCAUUGGAACCGACAAGGUCCUGGAAGGAAAGAGUCACAAUGCCAGCUCUCUCAGUGAAAGAGGAGAGAGGAAAUGUCACUGGAUUUACACAACUCUUUCCAGACUCUCCAGUCUUCCUGAAGGAAACAGCUACAACAAACAAACAAUUAUGGGGAUUUAAAGGUACGAUACCCACUGAUCUCCUCUCUCAGAGACACUCCACCUGAAAACUCUACAGAGGAACUGCUAUGCUACCGGAGGCUAACUGUGACUGACUCUGCCCUUCACCAUUCACACACAGAGGGAUUCUCAAGGAACCUGGCGAGAACGUUUAAAAACACCCGGAAAGGUGACUUUUUUGUCAUUUUGGCUCCAAAUCCCUGAACUCCUAAUGUAAGUUUACAGACAUUGACACGUGUGAGAAAGUGUCCUGCCCCUUCAAAAAGACUCAGAUGGUUGACAAAGCUGUGAAAGGAUUUUUAUCUGUACAAACCAGAGCCCAUACAUACAACCAUUACAACUGCCACCAUUUUGAGUGUGUUUGAAGUACAAUGUAACAAAAAAAGAUGUUUGGUUUGGUUGUUUCAUACUACAGUUUCAUACGUUUCAGAUGUUUUUAUGACUCAAUUUGCCAUUGGUUUGUUUUCUAUUCUAAAUGGUCAACUGUUUGACUCAAUUUGCCAUUGAUUAGUUAUUCUAUCUAAAUAGGAUGUAUGAAUCACUGGGAGGAGUAAGACUGAAGCUCAUUCAAGUGCUCUCCUGCUCAAGGACCUGCCUCGAUCAUCACACAUCGUUUCCACAACAUUCCCAGAGUGCUUCUGUCACGUCAUAGCAACGUUUGCCCAUUUGUUAAAUGGUCCUUUAGCCAAAUACAGUGGCAAUUCUAUUUGUAUUUUGUAAUAAUAAAAAAGAACCCAGUGGGGGCUCUUCUCUCGGCUUGCUUGCACUACAUUUUUCUUUUACGAGAGCUCAUGUAAUGAUUUUACUCUCAUGUAGCCUAUGCCUCUCAAUCCAUCAUUUCAAAGCUAUUUUGAUCAAAUUCUUUCAACUCUGCAUUGGACAUACCAAGGAGGGUCUUGGGUCAAAACUAGUGCACUACAUUGUGAAUAAGGUGCACAAUAUAGUGAAUAGGUUGCCAUUUGAGACAACCAGAUAUACUAAUCUCCCUCCACUAUGUUGUCAGGAAUGGUCAAAGUUUUCCAUUCUAAAAUAACUUCUGUUGUCUGUUUAAAUAAUACAUGGUUUCCCUGCUAACUCCCAGCAAACGGUGUAAUGGUUGCGGUUUAGACGAGCUGUUGUGUUAAGUGGCCUUUGUUCAGGCUUAUGGGAUAUUUAGCAGAACAGAGCUGUGUUUGGGGGCGUAUUGGGGCGUAGAGGUUGGAAACACCAGGGGUUAGGCUGGAUGCUGGAUAUAGAACACGAAGCGUAGAGGUUGGAAACACCAGGGGUUAGGCUGGAUGCUGGAUAUAGAACACGAAGCGUAGAGGUUGGAAACACCAGGGGUUAGGCUGGAUGCUGGAUAUAGAACACGAAGCGUAGAGGUUGGGAACACCAGGGGUUAGGCUGGAUGCUGGAUAUAGAACACGAAGCGUAGAGGUUGGAAACACCAGGGGUUAGGCUGGAUGCUGGAUAUAGAACACGAAGCGUAGAGGUUGGGAACACCAGGGGUUAGGCUGGAUGCUGGAUAUAGAACACGAAGCGUAGAGGUUGGAAACACCAGGGGUUUGGCUGGAUGCUGGAUAUAGAACACGAAGCGUAGAGGUUGGGAACACCAGGGGUUAGGCUGGAUGCUGGAUAUAGAACACGAAGCGUAGAGGUUGGGAACACCAGGGGUUAGGCUGGAUGCUGGAUAUAGAACACGAAGCGUAGAGGUUGGGAACACCAGGGGUUAGGCUGGAUGCUGGAUAUAGAACACGAAGCGUAGAGGUUGGAAACACCAGGGGUUAGGCUGGAUGCUGGAUAUAGAACACGAAGCGUAGAGGUUGGAAACACCAGGGGUUAGGCUGGAUGCUGGAUAUAGAACACGAAGCGUAGAGGUUGGAAACACCAGGGGUUAGGCUGGAUGCUGGAUAUAGAACACGAAGCGUAGAGGUUGGAAACACCAGGGGUUAGGCUGGAUGCUGGAUAUAGAACACGAAGCGUAGAGGUUGGAAACACCAGGGGUUUGGCUGGAUGCUGGAUAUAGAACACGGAAGACUGUAUUCUAUAGCACUGACCUCAAGUAGUUAAGAGUACAUUGGUGGCCUACAUGGAGCCUUUGGGCUUGGUUAGUUUUCCAGACCAGGUUGGAGUGUAUACCUUGUACCCAGUGCACUGUAACUGGGGGGACUCGGUGCUCCACAACAAUUUAAAAAAGCAUGGCAUCCCCUCUUGGGCGCCCCAAUAAGCAUUAAACAUAUAAACAUUGAUUGGAUCCACAAUUUCUAUAGUACUCACAAGAGUCACUGCCUAAAAACAAUGAGUCUGAAGCCUAAUCUCAGUAAUCUCAGACAGACAGACAGACAGACAGACAGACAGACAGACAGACAGACAGACAGACAGACAGACAGACAGACAGACAGACAGACAGACAGACAGACAGACAGCUAUUCAGGCGGCCAUGACAUCAAUGCUUUAUGUUGGAUGCUAUGCUGACAUGGUGGAACAGUGUGAGUAUUUGAAGAGUUUCCCAUCUCUCAGAGAAUGGGUUGAAAGGCCCAGUGAUGUCUCUAGUUGUGCC